UCUGAGUGUGACGCAGCAGGAGCGCGUCGGUUGGGGGAACCGAAGGUCGUAGGUUCAACCCUUACCAGUCAGAG
rnacentral:tRNA from 1 species